CCUCCGCACUCAAAAAUCCCCAAUUCCACUUCUGAUAAACCCUACAUUUGCUACUAUUCCUCCUCUGUAAAUCUUUGUUUCUUUCUUUCUUGAACUACAAGAGGAGGGAUUAGACGGAGUAUUUCAACAAUAUCCCGUUGGAUAUUUAGAUUAGAGAUAUUAAGUCGCUGAAAAUCUGUUCUCGAAUGCAAAACUUGGAGAAGUAUUUUAAUGGUGCUGAUUCUGGUGGGAUGUUGAACUUCGCCAUUUUCAAGCCGAGUUCGGUAUCUUUUUUCAACAUUGAGAAACCAGAAACAGCUGUUUCAUGAUGGGAAUGACGGGCAACGACAAGAGCUGCCAAGUCAUAAGGCGACAUUUAGAAUUCAAAUGGGAGGGAGACAUGAAGGAAGCAAAAUGCUCUUCUUCAUCUCACCAGCUCUAAAUUUCCAAGUGUUCAGAUCCUUCUCGGUAAGGAGUUAUACUGAUCGUCUUGUAGCUGCGAGUUCAAAAUGCGACGCAGAGUAAGAUGGCACACAUAGCUGAAUUUAGUUAGUAUUUAUAUGUUUAAUCCCUGCUGUCUCCAUAGGCCUAUGUGAGCUGUCUCCGUAGGCCUAUGUGAUUAGACACAUACAUACUAACUCAAUUCUGUUAUACAACUUGAUAAGUAUUUUCCUGUCCGCAAACUGCACAACCAACUAAGGCAUCUAACCAUUAUUAAAAACUACACAACUGAAUUUCGGUUUGUUUGAGAUGCGAAGCUGUUGCUAAUUGUGGCAGUAGACUUUUAGAAAUGGGGUUCUCAUGUCUCUUUGCAGUUGAACUCUGGGCACGUCAUCAAGGAAAUAUUCUGUUGUACCUUUGACGCGAUGUUCUCUUGUACCUUUGAGCGAUGUGUUUGGUGGUGCACUUGGAGCAGUAAAUGUGUGAACAUUUGUUAGUACUGUUUCUCAUCUCAUUUCCUGGUUUGGCUUCCAUGCAAUCUUGCAUACACAUACACUGCCUUCUGACAUUACAAAUUUGAUACAGGGAAGUCACAAGUUUGUACUACGGAGGAGCUGUAGGGGCUGUGCUGAUCUUUGACAUAACUAAACGUCAAAGGAAUUAUGAGGACAUGCAGACAAGAACAUUAAGUGUGAUCUUGAAAGCCUGUGUGCUGUCCCCACCAAGGAUGGCUAGGAAUUCGCUCAAAGGAAGGACUUUUCUUCUUAGAGGCGUCAGCUCUUGAAGGAUCUAACGUUGAGACUGCCUUCUCAACUAUUUUGACUGAGAUCUUCAACAUUGUUAACAAGAAAACGCUCGUUUCUGAUGAAGAUCAAAGUAAUGGAAGCCAAGCAUCCUUAACUGGAAAAAACAUCAUUGUCCCUGGCCCUGCACAUGUAAUUCCGACCAAGAGCAGUAUGUGUUGUUCUUCUUGAUCUUAAUCUGAUCAAAUUUUUGGUUUCAGGUCCAUAAUAUUUGGUAUUAGGAUUAAACUGGUUGUUAUUUGUGUCUCGCUUUUACUUAUUCUUGUAUAUCUUGAUUGUAUAUGCUAAAGUUUCAGAGGGACAGAUUGUAUUCUUUGUCACCAACUUGGCACGAUCCUCCAUGUGUCAUAAUAGCUAUACCCAAGAGUUGAUUUCA